CCUACGGGAGGCUGCAGUGAGGAAUAUUGGUCAAUGGACGAGAGUCUGAACCAGCCAAGUAGCGUGAAGGAUGACUGCCCUAUGGGUUGUAAACUUCUUUUAUAUGGGAAUAAAAUGUUCCACGUGUGGGAUUUUGUAUGUACCAUAUGAAUAAGGAUCGGCUAACUCCGUGCCAGCAGCCGCGGUAAUACGGAGGAUCCGAGCGUUAUCCGGAUUUAUUGGGUUUAAAGGGAGCGUAGGUGGAUUGUUAAGUCAGUUGUGAAAGUUUGCGGCUCAACCGUAAAAUUGCAUUUGAUACUGGCAGUCUUGAGUACAGUAGAGGUGGGCGGAAUUCGUGGUGUAGCGGUGAAAUGCUUAGAUAUCACGAAGAACUCCGAUUGCGAAGGCAGUUCACUGGACUGCAACUGACACUGAGGCUCGAAAGUGUAGGUAUCAAACAGGAUUAGAUACCCGGGUAGUC
rnacentral:rRNA from 1 species